GAAUAUGGCUUGUUUUCAUGCUGCAGGCAUUGGCUGAAACCACCCCCGCGAUGCCUCAGGAUAUUUCGAGGGAGACGCCAUAAGAACGCUCCAGAGGACAUGGUGGAGGAGGUGAACGAGGAGAUUGCCUGCUCUCCUUCCUCAAAGGACAAGAAGCCACACACGGUCAACAGAGUCUGGCGCUGGCUCAGGGGGAAAAAUGGUUCAACCAAGA